GUAGUUACCUAGCAGGGGAGACACCUUGAUUACUAAGGUGGUUUUCCCAGGGAGAGGCUUAUCACUGCACUCCUGAUAUGCUGACCCCUGUGAUUUCCCCAAAUGUGGGAAACCCAACUGCAUAAUUUGUGGUAGUGGGGGGCUGCAUUCACUCUUUCCCUUG
ensembl:snRNA U1 U1 spliceosomal RNA